CAGGAGUGAGGCCUUGCUGAACAUUAAGCACGUGAGUGGUCCUAUUAAAACCAAAGGCACUGAUCCGGCAGACACUGGUGUUGAGACUUAAUUUUACUUCAGUAAGCCCACUGAUUUCAAUGGGGCUAGUAGAGGUAAUAUUACGAAGCAUUUGCUUAAGUGUCUGUAGGAUCAGGGCCAAAGAGACUACACACAUGCUUAGAAAGUUAAUCCCAUGUUUAUGUGCUUUGCUGGAGCGAUGACUUGAUCACAACACUGAGACUUAUUGGUAGUUGAUUUUUGAAUGACGCCAUUCACAGACUGAAAAUAAAUUCUGGGGAGAAAUGGCAGAACUUUUUGCUGGACAUUCAUUGAGGCACACUUGGGAAAUGAUAACAGAUAACAUUGUUUACUUGCUGAACCCGUUACUUAGCAAACCAAAAAUGCUUAUUCAAACUUCGCUGGUGGGAUGGCUAUUUUUUAUUUAUACUGUAGCCUUUCAGCCUCCACCUCCCUCCUUGUUUAGCCAAUGUGGAGAGAAUGAAUAUACAUUUUUUCUUUGCUAAGGAAUGAGCAGCAAAUAGUCAGUUAUUUAUUACUUUACCUCUUGUCUGCAUUGCAGAGGAUGAACUGGUGACCCAGCUAUGCCGUACACUAUUUAUAUUCCUAGCAAUGUACUCUACAAAAUAUUUCCUUUUUCUAAUCUCUUCUUCAGUGAAAUUUACAAUAAGGCCAGCUGCCAUUUUAAAGUAUUUCACUUGUUAUUCCAAAAACAGCACCAUCCAGCCCCUGCUUUGUGAAAAUUAAAGGUUGCCAAUGUGUUCUCUGCUAUUUUUAAUACCUUGAUUGACUUAUUAAUAAAGAUAUAAAAAGCUUGUUCCUUCCUUCCACCCAUCAUUUGCCUGGCUGUUCUUUUACAGCUAGCAGGGCAAUGUCUGCUUUUUAAUCAAAUGGCAAAAGACAAUCAUGUUGUUAAAUAGUCUCAUUUGAAUGGAUCAAGGCUCUCCAGCCUUACCAUUGGGACUUGCAUAAAGACAGAAGCGGAUAAGGAAAGCAGAAGGUGUAAAUUUUCACAUACAGUUUUCUACUGCAAUAAGAGCAGAUUUUCACAAAACGAUGUCAAGUGGAAACAGAAUUACACACCCCUCUGGCUUAGACUCCUUUAGAUAGUCUAAACCAAUCUAUAUUUCACACAGAUGACAGAGCUGGCUCUGUGGUACUGCUGUAUGCUAUAGAAAGAGCAAUUAUUUUUCAUGUCUUCCAAGAUAUUUUGCAAUCACUCCCUUUAGUUUUCUAAAGCAUCAAGGAUCACUGAGAAACAACGCAGUAGUUACUGUCUUAAGCGUUCUGGCUUUCAAUUCGGAAUUUAAACAGCCCAUUUUUCCCCUGUGUGUUUCUAAGUAAGAACAGAAAGACAGGUCUGGAACUGACACAUUUACUUCACAAAAUCACACAUCAAUAGUUC